UGAUUAUAAAGCUGAUGACUAAGAUCCCUG
rnacentral:piRNA from 1 species